UACAGAGUCCACACCAGCCUAACCCUAGUUACCUUUCUCCCAUCUCCCGUACCAACCAUAGCCGCCGCCACUUCACCUUCCUCCUCUCGCCGCUCCAUGUCGGUGCCGGCGCCGACAGCGCUGGCCCUGAACCACACCGCGUCGAGCCCCUCCACAUCUAUCCCGCCCGGGACCCCUCCCCAUUCCACGCCUCUCCCCAUUCAGAUCGGCCCCUCGAGUUAUUGCAUCCCAGUCAUACCCCUCGAUCUGAGGCGGCAGCGGUGGCGGGGGGGCCAACUGCCGGAUUUGGACGGCCCUGAGGUCGCUGGCGGCGUGCAUUGAUCCAGCUCCAUCUGGCGGCGAGCUGAGGUGAGGUACAGCCGUACAGGAGGUGGCAACACAGCCACGGAUGCAGAGUACAUCGGCGACCUGUGGCUCGGUCCAAUUGUCCGUCAGCCGCCCAGUCGUCGCUCCCCUCAUCGUCGCGGUCGUCUUCUCCAUCCGUGGUGCGCAGCCUCCUCUAUGCGUCGCCGUUCACCUUCUCCAGCCGGAAAGACCCACUCUGCAGAGGAGUACAGAGUACCACCAGGACGAGCAAAACACUUGGGGCAGAACACCGGCCAUGGAUUGAUCUAGCCGUACCUGUUAAAGGAUGGCUGGAGGCCUCGUUGGCCAUGUUGAACCAGUACAGAGAAAACAUCUGGGCGUCUGCCUUGUUCGGCAUUAAAACGAACAGCAAGGGCAGGAGCACCACUGAGGGUUACUCGUUCGUUACUGAUUGUUUGUGCUUUGUUCCUUCCUAGUCACAUUGUGAAGCACAUUCAUUUUUUGUACUGCAAACAAAAAGUAUUAGGCAAAUCUCCGUUCUUGUUGCAGUUCAAGCAUUGUUUUGUAGUUGUACACUUAUAAUUCAGAGUAAUGGCCCGCAAGAUUUAUCCUAUCAGCUUUUAGUAUUAAGAAACUCAUACCAUUUUAUAUCUAACUGAAGAAAACCUCAUAUUUGCAGAUUCUGUAGGUACAUUUUACUGCAGUGUCCAAUGUUUCUGCAUGCACAUAAUGGUGAUGGGUCCCACACCGGCACACAUACUGGAACACGGCGGUCCAGCCAACCUCUGGCCUCCCUUCCUCCCCGACGGUGCUAUGGAACCAACGCUGGGUUCCGCUACCCCUGACCAUGGCCUAACACGCACGGACUGAAGAUAAGUUAUUCUAUUUCUUCCUUAAAGUGAGAUCGUUUGCUUCUCUGAUCCAGUUCUAGUAAUUUAUAUAAGGCCUUAGCUUGUUGUCAGGGAGGAACUUUCAUCUCAUUGCUAAAACUUGGGUAAACUGUGGGCAUACAAAAUACAUCUUUGUUUUUGUUGCCUUACAAACAUGGUUGUGAACAAACCGAAUGUUGGCAAACAAUUGUAUAUCCAUUUUCACUUAUUAUGAUAUUUCUGAAAGUGAAAGGGACUAAGAAUAGCACAGAGAGCAGAGAGCACACGGGUUAUGUUGGAAAAAUUGGUCGAAGUUACAAUGCAUUAGCUGGCAUAAAUAUAGCACAACUAGCAUGCCUAGAUGCACACAACGUUGAUGGUAAGAUAUGCUUGACAACUACCUAACAGGAUCAGAUUAUUCAUUUUGUAAAUGUAAAAAAAAUAUUAUUGUCUUCACAACGUCCACCACUGAAUAUCUCUAUGUAUUUCUAGACCUUGAUUUGAUAUUAAAAAGACAAUCCAAUUUAUCUUCUCGCUUAUGUCCUAGAAGGUUUCAGGAUCUGUAUCUAUAUUCGUGAUUGCUACUGCAUGUGUUCUGACUCGGCUUGUACCUUCAUUAAAAUGAAGUAAUACUUAAGCUAUGUAUGAGUCUGAUUCGUGCAAGCCUUGUUCCUACUGCUGCCACCUUGUAUAAAUAUAUACUGGUUCGUGCAAUACUUGCUCCUACUUCAAAUUUUUGGUCUGAACGUACCUAUAUAUACUUGCAUCAGACUAAAUUUGUAGUCUGAUUCGUGAAGUAGGAGCAAGGGUUGUUCCUACUGCUGCCACCAUGUAUAAAUAUAUACUGGUUAAUUUCAUUUAACUAUUUUUUCUGUCACAAAUAAUAGUACUAUGCUAGUCAAGUGGGCAGCGUAUAGAAUCGUCUUGCACAGAAGUAACACGGAUAAUAUAAUCAAUGGGUUUAUGAUAGAAAAUCAUUUCUGUAUAUCCUGAAUGAAUAUAAACGAUGCAUGAUUAUUUCAAGUUGCACUUUCCUAUCUAUUAUCUCAUUGUUUAUCAAGUAUUUUCAUGUUUCAUAGUCCACUACAUUACAAUGGGUUUAUAUGGCCUGAACUACUGCUGCUAUAGUAGGAGUUAUGUGAUGUGUGUUUCGUCACUUUGUCAUUUGACACACUUUUUUUGGGUUAAUUUUAAGCAACCUCAUGUUUAAUCUUGUUUUAUAGUAGAUACAAUGUUAUUCUCAUUUGUAGGCACUACAAGAUUUAAGAAUUCUGGACAUGUAAUUCAUUUUUAUAUUUGUUGCAAUUUUCUUAUUUCUACUAUCUUUCCAUAUGUGCAAAUAUCUAAUAUUCUUGUUAAUAUGCUAGGUAAGAUUGGAUACUGUGCUACUUGGUGCUGCCCAUCACGGCAUGAUCGUUGCCAUCAAGAACGUCGAUGGCAAGAGCUUGAAUAACAGCCUCAAUAGUUUAUAUGUUCUGUUGAUGUAAAAUGGAUUGUACUGGUUCAUAACUCUGUUGUGUGAUAUAUUUUAUCAAUCUAUGUUGUAUGUCAUCACUUUGUAGAGGAUUUUUUAAACUGCUGUGUUGUAGAUACAUACAGAUGGCUGUGUUAAACUUUGUAAUGUUUCACACCUUGCAAA